rnacentral:rRNA from 1 species
AUGCACGCUAGCUACAGGCUUCACCCCUGCCAGUCGCGGGGCAGCAUGAUUGAAGCUUGCUUCAAUCGAUGGCGACCGGCGCACGGGUGAGUAACACGUAUCCAACCUGCCGAUAACUCGGGGAUAGCCUUUCGAAAGAAAGAUUAAUACCCGAUAGUAUAGUAUUUCCGCAUGGUUUCACUAUUAAAGAACUUCGGUUAUCGAUGGGGAUGCGUUCCAUUAGAUAGUUGGCGGGGUAACGGCCCACCAAGUCAACGAUGGAUAGGGGUUCUGAGAGGAAGGUCCCCCACAUUGGAACUGAGACACGGUCCAAACUCCUACGGGAGGCAGCAGUGAGGAAUAUUGGUCAAUGGACGAGAGUCUGAACCAGCCAAGUAGCGUGAAGGAUGACUGCCCUAUGGGUUGUAAACUUCUUUUAUACGGGAAUAAAGUGGAGUAGGCAUACUCCUUUGUAUGUACCGUAUGAAUAAGGAUCGGCUAACUCCGUG